GAGGAUGUAGCUCAGUGGUAGAGCAUUUGUCUAGCACAUAUGAGGCCCCCCUCCCACCAUUCCAUCCUUA
rnacentral:tRNA from 1 species